ensembl:lncRNA
CAGAGAGAGAGGGGGUGAGAUACAGAGAGAGAGGGGGUGAGACAGACAGAGAGCGAGAGGGGUGAGAGACAGAGAGAGAGAGAGGGGUGAGAGACAGAGAUAGAGAGGGGGGUGAGAGACAGAGAUAGAGAGGGGUGAGAUACAGAGAGAGAGAGGGGUGAGACAGACAGAGAUAGAGAGGGGUGAGAUACAGAGAGAGAGAGGGGGGUGAGAGACAGAGAUAGAGAGGGGUGAGAUACAGAAAGAGAGAGGGGUGAGAGACAGAGAUAGAGAGGGGUGAGAUACAGAGAGAGAGAGGGGGGUGAGAGAUAGAGAGGGGUGAGAUACAGAGAGAGAGAGGGGUGAGACAGAC